GCGAUGAAGGACGUGCUAAUCUGCGAUAAGCGCCGGUAAGGUGAUAUGAACCGUUAUAACCGGCGAUUUCCGAAUGGGGAAACCCAGUGUGAUUCGUCACACUAUCAUUAACUGAAUCCAUAGGUUAAUGAGGCGAACCGGGGGAACUGAAACAUCUAAGUACCCCGAGGAAAAGAAAUCAACCGAGAUUCCCCCAGUAGCGGCGAGCGAACGGGGAGGAGCCCAGAGCCUGAAUCAGCAUGUGUGUUAGUGGAAGCGUCUGGAAAGGCGCGCGAUACAGGGUGACAGCCCCGUACACAAAAGCGCAUGUGCUGUGAGCUCGAUGAGUAGGGCGGGACACGUGGUAUCCUGUCUGAAUAUGGGGGGACCAUCCUCCAAGGCUAAAUACUCCUGACUGACCGAUAGUGAACCAGUACCGUGAGGGAAAGGCGAAAAGAACCCCGGCGAGGGGAGUGAAAAAGAACCUGAAACCGUGUACGUACAAGCAGUGGGAGCACAGGUUUACCUGUGUGACUGCGUACCUUUUGUAUAAUGGGUCAGCGACUUAUAUUCUGUAGCAAGGUUAACCGAAUAGGGGAGCCGGAGGGAAACCGAGUCUUAAUUGGGCGUUAAGUUGCAGGGUAUAGACCCGAAACCCGGUGAUCUAGCCAUGGGCAGGUUGAAGGUUGGGUAACACUAACUGGAGGACCGAACCGACUAAUGUUGAAAAAUUAGCGGAUGACCUGUGGCUGGGGGUGAAAGGCCAAUCAAACCGGGAGAUAGCUGGUUCUCCCCGAAAGCUAUUUAGGUAGCGCCUCGUGAAUUCAUCUCCGGGGGUAGAGCACUGUUUCGGCUAGGGGGCCAUCCCGGCUUACCAACCCGAUGCAAACUGCGAAUACCGGAGAAUGUUAUCACGGGAGACACACGGCGGGUGCUAACGUCCGUCGUGAAGAGGGAAACAACCCAGACCGCCAGCUAAGGUCCCAAAGUCAUGGUUAAGUGGGAAACGAUGUGGGAAGGCCCAGACAGCCAGGAUGUUGGCUUAGAAGCAGCCAUCAUUUAAAGAAAGCGUAAUAGCUCACUGGUCGAGUCGGCCUGCGCGGAAGAUGUAACGGGGCUAAACCAUGCACCGAAGCUGCGGCAGCGAACGUAUCACUUAAAGCGAUUCAGCGGGUUACGAUUGACGGAGCGA
rnacentral:rRNA from 1 species